CCUAGUCCAUAAUUUCACUGUAACAAAACACCUUUCCAGCUUGCAAACCACCACAAUCUUCCAUGGAUCCUCUCACACUCCUUCGCGACUACACAAUCCGCAACGAACUCCACAAAAUCACCCGCAUAGGCGACGACUACCGUUUCAGUAACGACUACACUUUCCCUUGUACAAUCGAAACCGCAUAUCGUUCCAAACACGUGGCAGCCAAUCGCUACACUCUCGAAACCCUAAUCAAUUUCAUCACUAAUCACCACCUUAAACACACCGAGUACAUCCAACAGUCUCGUUCCUUACGUAUUACCCCCGUCACUUUACCGGACCGUAAACCCCUCUUAGAUUACCUCACCGGAAAAACAGCAUCCUCCGACUCAAUCGAAUUCCUCAAAUUCAGCCACGACACGUCAGCAAACGACACGCCAGCGAACGACACGUCAGCUAAUGUGAUUGGGUUGGGUGAUGUUAAUAAUCAGAGUCCUAUUGAGUUGAUUAGAUCUGUGGAGAAGCCAUUGAAGGAUAGGGAAGCGAUUUUGUAUUGUAAAAACAGGGAUUUUUAUAGUGUUUUUACGGCGGCUUUGAGGAGAGAUGAGGAGCGACAAAAGGUUGAAUCUUUACAGAGGAAAGACGGGUUGGUUGCGAAAAAUCGGAUUGAUAGAGGGUUUGGUGGGGGUGGUGGGGAUGAAUUGGUUGGGAAAAUGCAUUUGAAAGGGAGUAAGAUAGGGGAAGGGGUACCGAUUAUAUUGGUACCGAGUGCGUUUUCGACGUUGAUUACGAUUUAUAAUGUGAAGGAGUUUUUGGAGGAUGGGGUGUUUAUACCUACUGAUGAGAAGUUGAAGCAAAUGAAAGGGUCGAAACCGGAUUGUAUAACGGUGCAGAAGAAGUUUAGUAGGGAUAGGGUGGUUACGGCGUAUGAGGUGAGGGAUAAGCCGAGUGCGUUGAAGGCGGAGGAUUGGGAUCGUGUGGUGGCGGUUUUCGUGUUGGGGAAAGAAUGGCAGUUUAAAGAUUGGCCUUUUAAGGAUCAUGUUGAGAUCUUUAAUAGGAUUGUAGGAUUUUUCUUGCGUUUUGAGGAUGACAGCGUGGAGUCUGCGAAGACCGUGAAGCAAUGGAAUGUGAAGAUUAUUUCGAUUAGUAAGAACAAACGCCACCAGGACAGAGCUGCAGCACUUGAGGUGUGGGACAAACUUGAAGAAUUUAUGCGGUCUCGGUCGCAUUGAUGCAUGUUGUGUCUCUAGGUAGACAACUUGCUAAAGUUGUAUUUCCCUUUGCGACCUUCUUUCAGUACAACAUGUUCGUGGUCAAGUAUAUUUUGUAGCAUUUGAAUGCUUCAAAUAACAUGAUAUCUUGCUCUGUGAUGCACCAGGUGAAGUUAGAUGACAAUCGUAUCUUACAAAACUGGACAGCCAAGAGACUUGAAAAAAUCCCAAAGCCUCUGAUCAACUUGUGAAUGUUAAUGGAAAUACAGCUCCCUUAGAUGAAUAUCCUCCUUUUAUAGGUUCUAUGAGGUCUUCUGUGGUGGCACGCCCCUUUUGUUCACCCAUGAAAUUAGUGUAUACAUCCCUUUCUUGUAGGAUAAUCAAUAUCAUUUAUUACGUAGCUUAUUUGGACGUGGCUCAUCAUUUUUAAAUUCGUGUGUUCGCAAAUUAUUUUCUUGAUGGCAAGCAGCUGAUAGCUACGUUUUCUGUUAUAAUUCCGAUCUAUUGUUCAUUUAUUAGUGCUUUGAAUGUAAAUUUUGCCAAUUACACCCCCUCCUUGCCCUCCUCCCUGGCUAAAAAGGAAUAUUCACAAGCUUAGUUAAAUGGUGGAUUAGUUUUUUCUGAUAUAGAAAUGUAUCAUUCUCUUAUAGCCAAUACUAAAAAGUAAAGAACGUUACAUAAAUUAGGACAUAGGAAUAUGUAUAACAGUAAUGAUUGAUGAAAGAAUAUACUACAAUACAAUUACAAAUCAGCCCUGUUGGAAAACUGACUGUUGAAAAAAAGCAAAUGUUUGAAAAGUAAGAGUCCACUUUCAUGACAGAGCAAACUAGCUAAUCAAGAUACAGUAGGUACAAUGCAUUGGAAGUCUACGGUAGGUAGACAGUCAGGCCACGUUGAUUAUUGAAGCAUAAGAAGCAAUAAGGAGAAACAAGAAGGAAAUAGGAGCUGCCAUAUUGGUUGAUGUUGCAUCAUUGGAACCUCCUUGUGAUGAAGAUCCACGUCCUGUCAUAGUUGAUGGCAUCAUGUUAAAGCUCUUCGUAAAACCACAAAUUGAUUGUAUCUUUUAUAGAUCCAAAAGGAGCAAAUUCUAAAGAACUCUAAGAAUUCGGUUGGCAGGUGGAGUCUGAACUUUGCAAGCAGUAGUGAGGGUCGAAGCCUGAGUCUGGCUAAUGUUGAGUCCAAGAUUGGAGCCACCCCCAUUGAGGAGCUGGCACAAGCACUCUGGCUUUUUAUCAACCACCGUGCUAAGCUGCGUGCAGCAACCUGAAAAUUCUGGCGAGGAGUUGUCCGUGAUGUAGUCCAUGCAAGGCAACAUGCUGAUCAACACGUUCGUGCAGUCAUCACUUUCUUGAGCAAUUACUCUUGCCCAGAUCAUCGCGAACACGAUCAAGAGAACACUAAUUUUAUUCCUUCGAUUGGCCAUCCUUUUGUAAAAAUCCCAGUGAAUUGAGGAGAGAAGUGUUUCUGAAUUUAAGAAAGUUGGUCACGUUAAUAA